rnacentral:lncRNA from 1 species
CUCCUACCUGGUAAUGUCCAGUACAGCAUAGAAAAAAAGACAAUGUUGAAACAGUCACUAUGUACUUUUCCUUGAAGAUGCUUAAAUAUCAUCAAAGUUUAGCAGUGUGGAGGAUGGUCAAAGAGCGAAAAGAGACACAGGAGCUGCAAACAGAGUGUAAAGGUGGAAGUAGACUUUUACCUUCCUAAAAAUCUUAGUACAGGAGGCAAAGCAUCUUUGCAGUAACAUAAAGGAUUCCAUACUGAAGUAUAAGAAAG